CACGUAGGGGCCAAGCGUUGUCCGGAUUUAUUGGGCGUAAAGAGCUCGUAGGCGGUUCGACAAGUCGGGUGUGAAAACUCCGGGCUCAACCCGGAGACGCCACCCGAUACUGUCGUGACUGGAGUCCGGUAGGGGAGUGGGGAAUUCCUGGUGUAGCGGUGAAAUGCGCAGAUAUCAGGAGGAACACCAAUUGCGAAGGCAGCUCGCUGGGACGUAACUGACGCUGAGACGCGAAAGCGUGGGGAGCAAACAGG
rnacentral:rRNA from 1 species